GUGGGGAAUAUUGGACAAUGGGCGAAAGCCUGAUCCAGCCAUGCCGCGUGUGUGAAGAAGGUCUUCGGAUUGUAAAGCACUUUAAGUUGGGAGGAAGGGUAGUAACCUAAUACGUUGCUACUUUGACGUUACCGACAGAAUAAGCACCGGCUAACUUCGUGCCAGCAGCCGCGGUAAUACGAAGGGUGCAAGCGUUAAUCGGAAUUACUGGGCGUAAAGCGCGCGUAGGUGGUUUUGUAAGUUGGAGGUGAAAUCCCCGGGCUCAACCUGGGAACUGCCUCCAAAACUGCAUAACUAGAGUACGGUAGAGGGUAGUGGAAUUUCCUGUGUAGCGGUGAAAUGCGUAGAUAUAGGAAGGAACACCAGUGGCGAAGGCGACUACCUGGACUGAUACUGACACUGAGGUGCGAAAGCGUGGGGAGCAAACAGGAUUAGAAACCCGGGUAGUCC
rnacentral:rRNA from 1 species